UGUCGACCUCAGAUCAGACGAGAGUACCCGCUGAAUUUAAGCAUAUAAAUAAGCAGAGGAAAAGAAACCAACAGGGAUUCCCUUAGUAAUGGCGAGCGAACAGGGAAAAGCCCAGCACCGAAUCCCGCGUCCUUAAGGGCAUAUGGGAAAUGUAGCAUUUGGGAGGCACUCUUCCAUUGGUGGUUUUUGGUGCAAGUCCCCCUGACUGGGGCUCUACCCCGGAGCAGGUGCAAGGCCCAUAGAUGCAACUGCUGCCGAUGGAUUUUGCCUCUCUGGAGUCAGGUUGCUUAGGUAAACUCCACCUAAGGCUAAAUACGUCCACGAGACCGAUAGUAAACAAGUACCGUGAGGGAAAGUUGAAAAGAACUUUGAAGAGAGAGUUCAAGAAUACGUGAAACAGCUUAGAGGUAAACGGAUGGGCCCUCGAAAGCCGAUGGCAGGGGGAUUCAGCCGGUAGAAUGGAUGAGUCGCUGUACUUCCAAACUCGAGGAGGACGUAGUGGUGUCUCUUACUCAGUUUUGCCGGUGCACUUUCCCCUGUCUGUAGGAUGCCGCCACCGGUUGGGUCAUCCAAAGAGUGCAGUCAGGAGGUCGGGCUAUGGAAGGUAUCCGAUGACGGAGUGGAACGUUCUGCCAAUGGUGUUUGGAGCUUACCACCGAGCACUUGGUUUGCCAACAGUAGGCAGCGAUGGUCUGGCAGAGCUGCCACAAGGAGGUGCUUGCGGUCGGCGGUGAGUAGGUCAGUCACCCACCAACCCGUUUUGAAACACGGACCAAGGAGUCUAACAUGUGUGCAAGUCAUUGGGUCUUGCACAGGCCUACAGGCGCAAUGAAAGUUAAGGUUGGCCAGGCUGCCGACUGCAUUGGGAUCCCCGCCUUCCGAGGUGGGGCACACCAACGGCCCAUCCCUACUGCUAUGUCAGCGGGAUGGAGUGAGAGUGUACACGUUGGGACCCGAAAGAUGGUGAACUAUGCCUGGGCAGAACGAAGCCAGAGGAAACUCUAGUGGAGGUCUGCAGCGAUUCUGACGUGAAAAUCGAUCAUCAGACCUUGGUAUAGGGGCAAAAAACUAAUCGAACCAUCUAGCAGCUGGUUCCCUCCGAAGUUUCCCUCAGGAUAGCUGGUGCUCGAGGGUAAAUCAGUCUCAUUUGGUAAAGCGAAUGAUUAGAGGCCUCGGGGCCGAAACGACUUCAACUUAUUCUCAAACUUUAAAUGGGUGAAAAGUCCGGCUUGCUCGACUGAAGCCCGGACGUUUGGAUGUGAGUGCCCAGUGGGCCAUUUUUGGUAAGCAGAACUGGCACUGUGUGAUGAACCAAAAGCCAGGUUAUGGUGCCCGAUGCAAAACGCCCAUGAGAUACCAUGAAAGAUGUUGGUUGCUAUAGACAGCAGGACGGUGGCCAUGGAAGUUAGAACCCACUAAGGAGUGUGUAACAACUCACCUGCCAAAGCAACUAGCCCUGAAAAUGGAUGGCACUUGAGCGUCGAGCCUACACCCGGCCACCAUGGCAAAGAUAGAGAGUUAUGCCGCGACGAGUAGGAGGGUCACAGUGGCGAGCAUUCAAGGUGCCGGGCAUGAGCCCGCCUGGAGCUUCUGCUGGUGCAUAUCUUGGUGGUAGUAGCAAAUACUCAAGUGUGAACCUUGAGGACUGAGGUGGAGAUAGGUUCCAUGUGAACAGCAGUUGAACAUGGGUCAGUCGGUCCUAAGGGAUAAGAGAAAUACGUUUGAAAGAGGGACCCAUCCAACAGCCGCAGGUCCCGCAACUGACCAAAAGUGAAUCGGGUUAAUAUUCCCGAACCCAGACAUGGAGAUCGACCUUUGGGUCAAGUGUGGUAAUGCAACCGAACUUGGAAACGUCAAAGGGAGUCCUGGGAAGAGUUGUCUUUUCUUUGUAAGGGAUUGGCUCCCUGGAAUUGUCUCACCUGGAGAUAGGGAUGCUGUACUUGUAAAACACCAUGGCUCUUAUGGUGUCUGGAGCACUCCCGUCGGCCCUUGAAAAUUCCGAGGGAGAGAGUGUGAUUUUCGUGUCGGACCAUACCCAUAUCGCCAAGUGUUGGAUUGUUCACCCACUAGUAGGGAACGUGAGCUGGGUAUAGACCA
rnacentral:rRNA from 1 species